GGGUGUAUAUCUCAAUGGUAGAGUAUUUGCCUAGCAUCAUGAGGCCCUGGGUUCAAUCCCCAGCACCACCA
rnacentral:tRNA from 1 species